AUCAGUAAGCGGAGGAAAAGAAACUAACAAGGAUUCCCUUAGUAGCGGCGAGCGAACAGGGAUGAGCCCAGCACCGAACCUCGCGCCCGGUUGAGCGGGUGCCGAGGAAUGUGGUGUUCGGGAGGAUCGUGCGCGCCUGUCCGGUAUAUAUCGUCCAAGUCUCCAUGAACGGGGCGAGCAACCCACAGAGGGUGUCAGGCCCGUAGCUUAGACGAGCCGAGACCGUGCAUCGGAUCCCUUCCCAAGAGUCGGGUUGCUUGAGCGUGCAGCCCUAAGCGGGAGGUAAACUCCUUCUAAGGCUAAAUAUCGCCACGAGACCGAUAGCGAACAAGUACCGCGAGGGAAAGUUGAAAAGAACUUUGAAGAGAGAGUUCAAGAGUGCGUGAAACCGUUCAGGGGGUUAAACGGGUGGGCCCUCGAAGGUCGAACGAGCCCCCGCUCCCGGCACUUGGUUGCAUGCCCUCUGCUGCGAAGAGACCGACUUGAUUUGGCGGCUCUGUUCGUUGGCGAGGACCGCAUUAGCCGCGCCAAGGUCCGCAAGUGGGGGGCCUAGUAGGACUCCGCGACCGACUGGGUGUCUGUUAUACGGGGCGUUCGUUAGCGAGUUUUUGGGUUACCUCGUGUGCCCUCGACGAGCGCGGCGUCACUCAACAGUACUGCCCGGUCGUGACCUGUCUCCUCCCGGAUUGUCUACGUGUAUCUCGCUAGAGGCUUCGAUCUGGAGCUUCAGGGCUUGGCAUCACGUUGUAGAAAACCGCGGAGGCCCAGAGCGGAGAGUAGAAGUCGGGUCCCACCCGACCCGUCUUGAAACACGGACCAAGGAGUCUAACAUGUGCGCGAGUCGUCGAGUCUAUUACGAAACUCGCGAGGCGCAAUGAAAGUGAAGCGGCCCCGAUGAGGGUGCAUCCGCGAGGGGUGAUCCCGUCUCGAACAGAGCGGGCGCAACCCCUGGGCGUCCGAAUGCUCGCGAGGCCCCGGUCAAACGGUGUGCCGAGUCGGCCGGACGAACCAAGAGCGUACACGUUGGGACCCGAAAGAUGGUGACCUAUGCCUGGCCAGGACGAAGCCAGGGGAAACCCUGGUGGAGGUCCGCAGCGAUUCUGACGUGCAAAUCGAUCGUCGGAGUUGGGUAUAGGGGCGAAAGACUAAUCGAACCAUCUAGUAGCUGGUUCCCCCCGAAGUUUCCCUCAGGAUAGCUGGUGCUCGCAAAGAGAACAAACGGAGUUUCAUCCGGUAAAGCGAAUGAUUAGAGGCCUUGGGGUCGAAACGACCUCAACCUAUUCUCAAACUUUCAAUGGGUGAGAAGCCCGGCCUGCAUUUCUUGAUUGAGGCCGUGGCAAUAAUUUUAUUUUGAAUCUGAGCGCCCAGUGGGCCAUUUUUGGUAAGCAGAACUGGCGCUGUGGGAUGAACCAAACGCCCGGUUAAGGCGCCUAAACGACGCACAUUUCGGAUCCCACGAAAAGGAGUUGGUUGCUAAAGACAGCAGGACGGUGGCCAUGGAGGUCGGAAUCCGCUCAGGAGUGUGUAACAACUCACCUGCCGAAGCAACUAGCCCUUAAAAUGGGAGGCGCUAUAGCGUCGUGCCUAUACCGGGCCGUCGGUCGGCAGUGCGAAUAACGUCCGUGUCAGCUCGCAGAGAGCGACGGCGCUGAGGCCCCGACGAGUAGGGGGGUCGCGACGGUGAGCGUUGAAGGGUUGUGGGCGUGAGCCUGCCCGGAGCCGCCGUCGGUGCAGAUCUUGGUGGUAGUAGCAAAUACUCCAGAGGGAUCCUGGAGGACUGACGCGGAGAAGGGUUUCAUGUGAACAGUGGUUGGACAUGAGUCAGUCGAUCCUAAGCCGCAGGCGAAAGCCGGCCUAGUGACGGGCGUGAUGCUAGUGUGCUCUUUUUCUUUUUUUGGGAGGAUUCGGCGCGCGCUUCUUUCCCUCUUUCGUUUCUAUAGUCCCUAGCCAGAUGGGUGAAAGGAAAGAAAGGAGAGUUGUGUGUUUGUUGAAAAGAACCGAAGAAAAAAAAUCAUGCGAAACUGAAACGUGAGACGCCACCAAGGUUAAGGCGAAAGGGGAUCCGGUCCUGAUUCCGGAACCGGGCUGCGGCUACGUCCGCGAUAAAACGACUUCAACCCUCGUAAUGUCACGGUCGCGGUAACGCGACACAAACCGGAGAAGCUGCCGAGAACCCCGGGAAGAGUUUUCUUUUCUGCUUGAGGGACCGAGACCCUGGAAUCCCGUCGCGGGGCGAGAGGGUUAUGGAUUUAGCUGUCAAAGGCUAUCCCGAAGAGCGUCGCGUUUCUGCGACGUCCGUGGUCGUUCUCGGCUGGCCCUUGAAAAUCCGGCGGAGGGUUACGUUGUUGGACGUUCGCGCCCGCUCGUACCGAUAUCCGCAUCAGGUCUCCAAGGUGAACAGCCUCUAGUCGAUGGAUGAAUGUGGGUAAGGGAAAUCGGCAAAUUGGAUCCGUAACUUCGGGAUAAGGAUUGGCUCUGAGGGUCGAGGCGGUCGGGCUGA
rnacentral:rRNA from 1 species